UAAUACGAGGGGUGCUAGCGUUGUCCGGAAUCACUGGGCGUAAAGGGUCCGUAGGCGUUUUGCUAAGUUGAUUGUUAAAUCCAUCGGCUCAACCGAUGACCUGCAAUCAAAACUGGCAGAAUAGAGUUCGAGAGAGGAAAGUAGAAUUCCUGGUGUAGCGGUGACAUGCGUAGAUAUCAGGAGGAACACCAAUGGCGAAGGCAGCUUUCUGGCUCGAUACUGACGCUGAGGGACGAAAGCGUGGGGAGCGAACAGGAUUAGAUACCCUGGUAGUCCACGCCGUAAACGAUGAGUACUUGAUGUCGGGGGAUUCGACCCCUUCGGUGUCGUAGCUAACGCGAUAAGUACUCCGCCUGGGGACUACGACCGCAAGGUUG
rnacentral:rRNA from 2 species